rnacentral:rRNA from 1 species
UACGAAGGGGGCGAGCGUUGUUCGGAAUUACUGGGCGUAAAGGGAGUGUAGGUGGUGAUGUAAGUCAGAUGUGAAAGCCCUGGGCUUAACCCGGGAAGUGCAUUUGAUACUGCAUUGCUGGAGUGCGAGAGAGGAAAGUGGAAUUCCCAGUGUAGGAGUGAAAUCCGUAGAUAUUGGGAGGAAUACCGAUGGCGAAGGCAACUUUCUGGCUCGUAACUGACACUGAGACUCGAAAGCGUGGGUAGCAAACAGG